rnacentral:lncRNA from 1 species
AUGGAAUACUACUCAGUCAAAAAAAAUGAAGUCAUGUCUUUUGAAGUAACAUGGAUGGAACUGGAGGCCGUUAUCUUAAGUGAAAUAACGCAGAAACAGAAAAUCAAACACCACGUUUUCAUUUAUAAGUGGGAGCUAAAUAGUGUAUAAACUAGGACAAAUUGUGAAAUGAUGGACAUUGGAGACUCGGGAGGGUAGGGAAUAGGAGACAGGUGGGUGAUGAAAAAUUACUUAAUGGGUAGGCAUAAUUUUCUAUAUGGUGAGCUUUGAAGUUAGUGACCUGAGCUCACACAGGCCUACAUCUGAGCUGGGUCCAUCCUCAAGGCCCAACGCAGCACAUUCUUUAAGGCUUGUGGAAAUCACAAAUUGGAGGAAAAACAAGUAUUUUUCUCAGUAUAUAUUUAAGGUUUCCUGAAGUGUGGUCACACCUCAGAAAGAGCUUGAGAAAAUGUCCUCAUUUCUGACAUCUCAGCAAACCCCUGACAAUUGCAGUGAAUUCAGCUCUGCAGCAGAAAAAAUCUGGGGUCAUAUGCUCUGCUGAUACCUUUUUCCAAUAGGGCCCCUGUGUGUCCUCGGAUGCUCACUCCUGACCCCAACAGCCCAAGCUAACCCCCCCUUCUAAAUCAACAAAGCUAACCUAUAACAACCCUUGGGACUUAAGCUGUGCACUGGUUUCCAACUUGCUCCAUAACCCCUGACUCCAUGGCCCUCAGUAGAUA